ensembl:lncRNA
GUGUGUUCGAGAGGGAUAUGUGGCUCUAGGGGUUUGUGGGAACAUGUGGGAGGGUUGAGGGUGCUAGGGGUUGGGGGGGGCUCUAGGGCAGGAUGUUGUGCUGUAGGAGAUUGUGGGGGCCUGAGGGAGGAUAUAGGGUGUCUGUGGGGAUAUAGGGGAGAUAUGGAGUCUAGAAGGGUUCUAGGGGGAUAUGAGGCUGGAUAUGGGAGAGUGUGGGGGGCUCUGGAGGGAGUCUAGGGCCAGUGUGGGUCUGUGGGGUGCUAUAAGGGGAGAUUGGGCUUUAGGGGCUGGGGGACUGUAGGGAGGGUCUUAGGGCUGUAGAGGGGACAUGGGGUGCUAUGUGGCUGUAGGGAGCAGGGGAAUAUUAUGACGCUGUAGGGGGCUAUUGGGAAAGCUAUAUGGUUCUAUGGGGAGGCUAUAGGAGCUUUAUAGGUGGUUAUGGGGCUAUAGGGAGCUGUGGGUGGUCUGUAGGCGGGUACUAGUAGGGUAGGAGGCUAUAGGGGGCUGUGGAGGGGAUAUAGGGAGAUAUGGGGCAGUAGUGAAUUUUUAGGGGGUUGUGGCGGGCUGUAAGAGUGUAUAGGAUGAUAGGGGGCCAGGGGGGGUAGGAGGCUAUAGGGGGCUGUGGAGGGGAUAUAGGGAGAUAUGGGGCAGUAGUGAAUUUUUAGGGGGUUGUGGCGGGCUGUAAGAGUGUAUAGGAUGAUAGGGGGCCAGGGGGGGUCUGUAGAGAGGGAUGUUAUGCUGGAGAAGGUAUGGGAGGCUAAAAUGGGCCUUUGGGGGUUACAGAGGGGCUGUGGUGGGCUAUUUGGGGAUAUAGGGAGAUAUGAGGCUAUAGGAAGUGUUUGGAGGAUGUGGUCCUCUAAGGGGCUGUGUGGGUCCAUAGGAUGAUCUGGAGCUAUAGGGUGAUCUCUAAAGGGAUGUGGGGCUAGAAGGCUCUCCCUUCCUUCUUUCCCCCCUUUCCACAGCAGGGAGGGUGAAAUGCUAGUCAUGAAAUUGAAACUGGAACUGAAGUUGUCUUGGAAUAGAAUAUGAUGCUUUUGUGGUCUUCCAUCUGAAACGUGUUUUCUCCUUGGGCUUGAGGUAAUCUGUUUAUGUUUAAUGAUUAUGGUUAAUAAU